rnacentral:RNase_P_RNA from 1 species
UCACCGUCCCUCCUGGCGACAGGCGGGACUGAGACAAACCCCAUCCGGAGCAAAGCUUAACAAAGGGCGCUUGAGGCUUUCCCGGCCGAAGCCCUUGGGUUAGCUGCUGGAUCCCGCCGGCAACGCCGGGACCAGAUAAAUGAUUCUUCACGACAGAAUCCGGCUUACAGUCUGCAUCCUGCU